rnacentral:rRNA from 1 species
UUAAGCAUAUCAAUAAGCGGAGGAAAAGAAACCAACAGGGAUUACCUCAGUAACGGCGAGUGAAGCGGUAACAGCUCAAAUUUGAAAUCUGGGCCCCUCGGGCCCCGAGUUGUAAUUUGGAGAAGAUGCUUCGGGUGCGGCGCCGGUCUAAGUUCCUUGGAACAGGACGUCACAGAGGGUGAGAAUCCCGUACGUGAUCGGCCGCCUGUGCCCGUGUGAAGCUCUUUCGACGAGUCGAGUUGUUUGGGAAUGCAGCUCAAAAUGGGUGGUAUAUUUCAUCUAAAGCUAAAUAUUGGCCAGAGACCGAUAGCGCACAAGUAGAGUGAUCGAAAGAUGAAAAGCACUUUGGAAAGAGAGUUAAACAGUACGUGAAAUUGUUGAAAGGGAAGCGCUUGCGACCAGACUUGCGCAGGGCCGAUCAUCCGGGGUUCUCCCCGGUGCACUCGGCCCCGCGCAGGCCAGCAUCGGUUCCGGUGGCUGGACAAAGGCCUUGGGAAUGUAGCUUCUCUCGGGGAGUGUUAUAGCCCUCGGCGCAAUGCAGCCUACCGGGACCGAGGACCGCGCUUCGGCUAGGAUGCUGGCGUAAUGGUCGCAAGCGACCCGUCUUGAAACACGGACCAAGGAGUCUAACAUCUAUGCGAGUGUUUGGGUGCCAAACCCAUCCGCGUAAUUAACGUGAACGGAGGUGAGAGCCCUGAAGGGUGCAUCACCGACCGGUCCUGAUGUCUUCGGAUGGAUCUGAGUAAGAGCAUAGCUGUUGGGACCCGAAAGAUGGUGAACUAUGCCUGAAUAGGGUGAAGCCAGAGGAAACUCUGGUGGAGGCUCGCAGCGGUUCUGACGUGCAAAUCGAUCGUCAAUUUGGGUAUAGGGGCGAAAGACUAAUCGAACCAUCUAGUAGCUGGUUCCUGCGAG